rnacentral:tRNA from 1 species
GUCUUUGUGGUGCAGUGGUCAGCACGCUCGGCACGUAUUCGAGAGGUCCGUGGUUCGAGUCCCGCCGAAGGCA